UACGGAGGGUGCAAGCGUUAUCCGGAUUCACUGGGUUUAAAGGGUGCGUAGGAGGGCAGGUAAGUCAGUGGUGAAAUCUCCGAGCUUAACUCGGAACUGCCGUUGAUACUAUCUGUCUUGAAUAUUGUGGAGGUGAGCGGAAUAUGUCAUGUAGCGGUGAAAUGCUUAGAUAUGACAUAGAACACCAAUUGCGAAGGCAGCUCGCUACACGAAUAUUGACUCUGAGGCACGAAAGCGUGGGGAUCAAACAGG
rnacentral:rRNA from 1 species